rnacentral:tRNA from 1 species
GGAGGGUUCGCAUAGUGGUCUAGUGCGCUCGCUUGGAAAGCGAGUAGGGGGCAACCCCUCAUGGGUUCAAAUCCCAUACCCUCCGCAA